AGUUCUAUAAAGUUCUAUAAAGAGGUCCUUGGCUGCAUCGCUUUGUAUUCCAGUCCUGAUCUACUUUAGAGAAAUUCAUCCUGAGAUUUCAGCACUAUGUCUUACCAAGAGCAGCAGUGCAAGCAGGUUUGCCAGCCUCCUCUUGUGUGCCCACCCCGAAGUGCCCAGAGCCCUGUCCUCUGCCAAAGUGCCCCGAGCCUUGUCCUCCUGCAAAGUGCCCAGAGUCCUAUCCACUGCCAAAGUGCCCUGAGCCAUGCCCACCUCAGUCAUGCCAGCAGAAAUGCCCUCCUGUGCAACCUCCUCCACCAUGCCAGCAAAAGUGCCCACCCAAGAGCAAAUAAGGGCUUCAGUAGUCUUCAAAACCAAAAGAAGAGAACAGAAUCCAUCUUACAUAAGUCCAUAGCAACACCUCCAUCUUCCAUUUAAACCUGUAAUGGAUUCAAAAGAAUCUUCUCCAACAUUCCUCCACCAUAUGGGUCUUAAGACACAGGCACUUGGAUACUAUUUGCAUGCUGUUAUCAAAAGACUGUUGAAAAUGGCCCUUCUUUAGUGUCAUUAUCACAGAUGCUCAGAGGGAAGAUCAGAUGUCUUCUCAGUGCCCUCAAAGAAUGUUUUCCAAAUCUGAUUGUCACUGGUGUUCUAUUUCCUGAAUAAAGUACAAUCUUAUUAAUGG